ACACUGGAUAGCUCAGCUGAUUAGAGCAUGGUGCUGGUAACGCCAAGGCCACAGGUUUGAUCCCCAUAUCAGGCA